GGAUUGUAGUCUGNAACCCGACUACAUGAAGCUGGAAUCGCUAGUAAUCGCAGGUCAGCAUACUGCGGUGAAUACGUUCCCGGGUCUUGUACACACCGCCCGUCACACCAUGGGAGCCGGAAAUGCCCGAAGCCAGUGACCCAACCUUAGGGAGGGAGCUGUCGAAGGUGGAGCCGGUAACUGGGGUGAAGUCGUAACAAGGUAGC
rnacentral:rRNA from 1 species